rnacentral:lncRNA from 1 species
UGACUCAGGAUAUCCCAGGCUGACUCAGGACCCACCAGGAUGACACAGAACAGCCUAGACUGACUCAGGACAACCCAGUGUGGCUCAGGACACCCCAGGAUGAUACAGGACACCCCAGGAUGAUUCACGAACCCCCAGUAAGACACAGACCCCCCCCCAGGAUGACCCAGGACACCCAGUCUUACACAGGACACCCAAGGAUGAAUCAAAAGACCCAAGGAUGACACAGGACACCCCAUGGUGACACAGGAAUACCCAGGAUGACACAGGACAACCCAGGCUGACUCAGAACUCCCCAGGAUGGUUAAGGGCACCCCAGGUUGACUCAGCACAGCCCAGGAUGACACAGGACACCCCAGGCUGGAUGAGGACAACCCAGGCUGACUCAAACACACCAGGAUGACUCACGAAAUUGCAGGCUGAUGCAGGAAAUCCCAGGCUGACAAAGGACACCCCAGAAUGACUCAGGACAUCCCAGCCUGACUAAGGACACCCCAGAGUGGACUCAGGACAACCCAGGAUGACUCAGGAUAACCCAGGCUGACACAGGACAAUGAGGACAAUACAGGACACCCAGUCUUACACAGGACAUCGCAGGAUAACAAAGGACACCACAGCUGACACAGGACAACCCAGGGAUGACUCAAGACACCCCAGGAUGACUCAGGAGACCCCAGGAUUACUCAGGACACCCCUGGCUGACACAGGAAAUCCCAGGGUGACACACAACACGUCAGGCUGACCCCAGUCUUACACACGGCAUCCCAGGAUGAAUCAAGAGAACCUAGGAUGACUCAGGACACCCCAGACUGACACAGGACUCCCCACUAUGACACAGGACAACCCAGGGUGAGACAGGACACACAAGGCUGACUCAGGACACCCCAGGCUGACUCAAGACUCCCCAGACUGAAUCAGGAAUCCCCAGGCUGACUCAGGACGUCCCAGGCUGACUCAGGACACCCCAGGAUGACAAAGGACACCCCAGGCCGAAACAGGCCACCCCAUGAUGACUCAGGACACCCCAGGAGGCCUCAGGACACCCCAGGAUGACAUAGGACAACCAAGGAUGAACCAGGACACUCCAGGAUGACUCAGGACAUCCCAGCCUGACUGAGGACACCCCAGAGUGGACAACCCAGGAUGACACAGGACACUCCAGUUGACACAGGAUACCCCAGGAUGACACAGGAAAUCCCAGGCUGACACAGGACACCCCAGGAUGACUCAGGACACCCCAGGAUGAUUCAGAAACCCCAGGCUGACACAGAACACCCCGGGAUGACACAUGACACUCCAGGAUGACUCCCGACAUGCCAGCCUGACUAGGGACAUCCCAGAGUUACUCAACACACCCCAGUCUGACACAGGACACCCCAGGCUGACACAGAACACCCCAGUCUGACACAGGACACCCCAGGAUGACACAUGGUACCCCAGGAUGACUCAGGACAUCACAGGAUGGCUCAGAUCACCCCAGGCUGACACAGGACACCCCACGCUGACACAGAACACCCCAGUCUGACACAGGACACCCCAGGAUGACACAUGGUACCCCAGGAUGACUCAGGACAUCACAGGAUGGCUCAGAUCACCCCGGGCUGACACAGGACACCCCAGGCUGACACAGGACACCCCCUGAUAACUCAGGACACCCGAGCGUGACACAGGACACCCCCGGAUGACUCAGGACAUGCCAGGAUGACUCCGAAGAUGCCAGGAUGACUCAGGACACCCAAUGAUUACUGUGGACACCCCAGGGAGACUCAGGACACCACGAGUGAUUCAGGACACCCCAGGCUGACACAGGACAUCCCAGGGUGACUCAGGACACCCCAGGCUGACACAGGACAACCCAGGAUGACUCACAACAUCCCAGGGUGACACAGGACACCCAAAGAUGACAAAGGACACCCCAGGAUGACACAGGUCACAUCAGACUGACUCAGGACACCCGAGGUUGACUCAGGACAACCCAUGAUGUCAAGAGACUCAGCAGGAUGACAAAGGACACAACAGGAUCACCUAGGACACCCCAGGAUGACUCAGGAAACGCUAGGAUGACACAGGACACCCCAGACCGACUCAGGAUCCUCCAGGAUGAUAUAGGACACCCCGUGGUGACUCAGCACAACCAAGAGUGACUCAGGACACCCCACACUGACCAGAACACCCCAGGCAGGCUUAGCACACCCAGGCUAGGUUGACAGGCUAUGUCCUCUCCCACCCAUCCUCCCCGUCCUCCCCCAUCCUCCACAGUCUUCCCCGUCCUCCCCUG